rnacentral:misc_RNA from 1 species
GAUGAAGAACGUAGCGAAAUGCGAUACGUAAUGUGAAUUGCAAAUUCAGUGAAUCAUCGAGUCUUUGAACGCACAUUGCGCCCCCUGGUAUUCCGGGGGGCAUGCCUGUCCGAGCGUCAUUGCUGCCCUCAAGCACGGCUUGUGUGUUGGGCCCCGUCCUCCGAUCCCGGGGGACGGGCCCGAAAGGCAGCGGCGGCACCGCGUCCGGUCCUCGAGCGUAUGGGGCUUUGUCACCCGCUCUGUAGGCCCGGCCGGCGCUUGCCGAUCAACCCAAAUUUUUUAUCCAGGUUGACCUCGGAUCAGGUAGGGAUACCCGCUGAACUUAAGCAUAUCAAUAAGCGGGGA